CUAAAGUUGGAGAAUUAAAUAAAGGAAAUAGGUUAUUAAAUAGGCAAGAAAGAAAAAGGAAAAGAAGGAAACCUAGCCUCGUAAUCUUCUUCUUUACCUUACAGCGGCCGGCCACCCCCUUCUGUUCAUUCUUCUUGGCCGGCGAGGUUCAGACGGCGACGACCCCCACGAACUCACGUUGACGCGAGCAGACACCCUCACGUUGAAGGUGUUUACUCAUGAACCCACCUUCUUUCACUCACUUCUGGCGAGCGUUGUGGUGGUAAAACCCACCAGUCAGUUCUGCAAUGGCAACGCGAUUCUCGAUGGCAGCUCCAUGGGUUUUAUGAUCGUAGUGUAACCAAGCCGAUGUGACAACCAUGAGACGGGAACCCACUUUGUACACCUUCCCAUCAAUGUCUCUCCGUUUCGACAGGUUUCGGUAUUGACCCACACUUCGAUUGGCUUCAAAUUGGUGUACCCAUACCGUUUAGGGUCCAGAUCUGCAAGUUCGGACGUUUUCAGACAUCCACCAGCAAGGUCUAGGGCCUCUUCGAUAAGAUUCGAUGAAGGAUCAGGUGAAAGUUCUGAAGAAAGUGAAGUUUGACAUUUUGGCGUAAUAAGUUGCUUUUGCUGAUCUGUAUUAAUUAAUAGUUCCCAGAUGCUCAUGAAGGAAUGAUUCUAACAAAGCAAUACCGGUGUGUGCAUUCAGCAAGCUGCCUGUGCACCAAGGGGCACCUUAGUGAGGAUGCAGUAUUCCUAGUUUUCCAGCAUUUGAAUUGGAAUCCGAAGUUGAUUGCUACUCUCUCCUGUGCAUGCAAAUGGUUUGACGAUCUCGCCAAGCGAGUGCUAUGGAAGGAGUUUUGCAGGACCAGAGCCCCGAAAAUGAUGCUGGAUCUGCAGUCUAGCGGGAGUCACAGUGUGGAUGGGAACUGGAGGGCUCUUGGGAAGCUGCUUAUUUAUUGCUCAGGAUGUAAGAAGGGUGGUCUCUUCAAUAACAUCCAAAUUCCUGGUCAUUUUGUUUAUAGAACCCGAUUUUCUAGGACAUCAGGCAAGAGUUUUCUUAUGCCACAAUGCAGAACAGAUAUUUUAUAUGUAUCUGAUCCUUGUGAACAUCUCGACCAAGGGGAAGAAGGGGAUAUUGGUUUCUUCAGGGGUAUUUUUAAGUCUUUUUCGAUGUCGAAGGUUAGGAAAAUGCUGAUAAAGAGAGGAGCAGAACUUCAUCCGACGGAGGUGUGCCCUUAUUGUAAGGCCAAGCUAUGGAGCAUGCUACAAGCUAAAAUGAUACCACAGAGUGCCAGCUGUAGAUUGGGCGCUUAUGAGGAUUGUAUUGACUACUAUGUCUGCCUCAAUGGACAUAUGCUUGGUAUUUGCACUCUGUUACCCUUGUCGGAUUCUGAGGAGACAUCUGAGUUGGAGUGAUAGCUAUCAUCCUACAACAUAGAAAAGAAGGAAGAAAGGAUCAGACCAGGGCGGUUGAAUUAGUACCUAAGAAGGUGUGAUAGUAUUUUCGGGUUUUUGGUGCGAGUGAGAAUGCACAGGUGAUGGCUCAUUGUGAGAGUUAGUUUUGCUACAGUGGAUGCAAAUAAAAGACAACCAAAUCAGAUGGAGUGGGGGGGAUGAGGAUGAGGAUGCUGCAAGAAAGGAUGCUCUUAUAAUAAAUAGUUGAUAAAAAUGCUUUCAAAGUCACCCUUUGAUCUCACAUAGACUGGAUGAACUUUGCCUAAAGUCCGUUCAACUUCUGUUUCGUGGAAUCAAUGGCUUCAUCGGCAUUCUGCAGCUUAGUAUUCUGGACAAAUGUUCAAUGGUGUGAAGUCUUAGAAGCAUUAGCUGACAAGAUUUUUGUCAAAAGGGAAAGAAAACAAAAACAUCCUUUUUACAUGAAAAGGUUGUCUGUGAACCAUGUAAUUUCCAUUGUAAAUUAACCCUGACCUUAUAUUUGAUAUGGUGAUGGUGACUGGAAUGAUUAUGCACCCCUGUCUGGAUUGCUUCAUAUAUUCUAAACUCUUAGAAAUCUCCUUGUGAAAUGGAUACCUUCUCAGCUGAAGCUUCCAUCCCCAUAUUGAUUAUCCAGGGAACAAAAGGCAUCAAUCUCCCCCUUCACACGCUUCAUUUGAAUUGCAUGGAGCCAAGUACUGUAUAUUGUUGGCUUUUAGGGAUUGGACGAGUUCAAAUAAAAGUACUUCUAACCGAGUGUGAUUUUCAUGUA